AACGAGCGCUGGCGGCAGGCCUAACACAUGCAAGUCGAGCGAGGACUUCGGUCCUAGCGGCGGACGGGUGAGUAACGCGUGGGAACGUGCCCUUUGCUUCGGAAUAGCCCUGGGAAACUGGGAGUAAUACCGGAUGAGCCCUUUGGGGGAAAGAUUUAUCGGCGAAGGAUCGGCCCGCGUUGGAUUAGGUAGUUGGUGGGGUAAUGACCUACCAAGCCGACGAUCCAUAGCUGGUUUGAGAGGAUGAUCAGCCACACUGGGACUGAGACACGGCCCAGACUCCUACGGGAGGCAGCAGUGGGGAAUCUUAGACAAUGGGGGAAACCCUGAUCUAGCCAUGCCGCGUGAGCGAUGAAGGCCUUAGGGUUGUAAAGCUCUUUCAGCUGGGAAGAUAAUGACGGUACCAGCAGAAGAAGCCCCGGCUAACUCCGUG
rnacentral:rRNA from 1 species